CCGCACCUACGGGGCGAGCAGUGAGGAAUAUUGGUCAAUGGGCGGAAGCCUGAACCAGCCAAGUCGCGUGAGGGAAUAAGGCCCUACGGGUCGUAAACUUCUUUUGCCGGGAAGCAAGGGCGGGGACGUGUCCCGGCCCGGAGAGUACCCGGAGAAAAAGCAUCGGCUAACUCCGUGCCAGCAGCCGCGGUAAUACGGAGGAUGCGAGCGUUAUCCGGAUUUAUUGGGUUUAAAGGGUGCGUAGGCGGGCUUUUAAGUCAGCGGUAAAACUUCAGGGCUCAACCCCGUCCGGCCGUUGAAACUGG
rnacentral:rRNA from 1 species